GCUGUUCAAGGCCAGAGUCUUAGUAAGAAACACCUGGCCAGGGUGAGGAUCUCAGGUAACAAUCAGAAUCAUUCAGGGAACCAUCCAGAAAAGGGGAGCUAUGGCUCAGCUGCGAGACACCCCCCAGAGGUCUCACUGCAAAGGGGCAGCUUAUAAACAGGCAUGAAUGGAGCACAGCCUGCUGAAGGAGCCUCACUGCCAAGACAAAGUGGGCAGAGUGUUGCUGUGUGACCCUGUCUUAGCCAGCUUUUUGUUACUGAGACACAGUACCGGACAGCCACAACUUUAAAAGGGGGGCAGGUUUACUUGGGCUGUGGUCAGUGACCUGAGGCACAAAUGGUGUGGCAGAAGGGCCUGGGUGGAGAAGGAGAGGAGAGAACCAAGAAGGGAGUCACGGAGGCAGGGCCACCCGUCCAGGUCACACCCUGGGGACCUGCCAGCACAUCAGGCAUGGUGUCCUGUGCUCCGAUCGCCUUCCCGAGCCCUGUCUUGGAGUGGGUCAGGCUGCGGGGAUGACAUCUAGAUGUAAACCAUGGCAUCUGUGAGGAAAUGUCUUCAGUGGGCUGGUGGCAUCUGACCGGACGAGGUAUAACGGCACCGAGUGCCCAUGCUGUUUGCCAUAUCCUGUUACUAAGGGCACCAAGCUGCAGGGCCCAGGCUGUCCCAGGGCAGUUUGCACUUACGGAAGUGAGCUCCGGUUUACUCAAAAUUAAGUGGGCUGAGAGCCUGUGACAAAGAAUAACCAAUUGAAAACAACAGUAAAAAAUAAAGUUUCCGGCAAACUUUAUGUGCCUUUCAGCCAUUUUUUAAACUUCCCAUGUUUUCUUAUUUAAAGUAUGAGGAUGAAUGGAAAUAUUUAUGAAUCCUAGGGCAGUUUUUCUAAAUUUGAUAUGUUUCUUAGAAUUUUUCCAGAUUAGGGAAUAUUUUCCCAAAUUUGUUUAAAUCACACUUAUUCUCCUUGGCUAACAAUGUUUCCAUGAAUUUUUAAUUUUCUUUUUGUUUCUGAGUAAAUUGCUGAAAGAAUAGUCAUCAAAAAUGAAUCUUUCAGAUCCCUAAAUUUGUAUAGCUAACGAUGAUUUUACAUUUAAAUGAAAUUUCAAGUAGUUUUGGUUGUGUUUUUUUUGGUACUUUCUCAGUUAUUUUGCUUUCUACACUGACUUAAAUUCCUUUUCAGUUAGUAUUUCUGGCUUUAAUGGUAUUGCUUCACCAUUACCCCAGUCAGCGAGUCUGGUGUGCACACGCGUGUGCUGGACAGAGGGCCUUGGCUGUGCCAUGCGAUGUUUUCAGUGUCGCUAAGACCCUCAUCUGUGGUCACCAUGUUCCUGUGUCUGGCUCCUGGACGCCCACGGGAUCCUGUGGAAUGGCGUAGAAGACGG
rnacentral:lncRNA from 1 species